rnacentral:rRNA from 1 species
UACGUAGGGUGCGAGCGUUGUCCGGAAUUAUUGGGCGUAAAGAGCUCGUAGGCGGUUUGUCGCGUCUGCUGUGAAAACUCGGGGCUUAACUCCGGGCCUGCAGUGGGUACGGGCAGACUAGAGUGCAGAAGGGGCAACUGGAAUUCUCGGUGUAGCGGUGAAAUGCGUAGAUAUCGAGAGGAACACCUGCGGCGAAGGCGGGUUGCUGGGCUGACACUGACGCUGAUGCGCGAAAGCCAGGGGAGCGAACGGG